UGCCUUUAUGUGUUGCCCUAUCAUUACUACCUCCAGUGAUUAGGGUGUCAAAUAAGGCAUACAGUAAACCAUGUGGCUGUGUUAUUGAGUGGCAAUUGGCCUCUUAAAUAAACAUCUGCAUGGACACAC
rnacentral:snoRNA from 1 species